GCUCAGGAUGGCUCAGGUGGUACAGCAUGAGACUCUUAAUCUCAGGAUUGUGGGUUCGAGCCCUGGGUUGGGCA